GAGGAAUGAGGCUCCCUUGAGCUUUUCCUCUAGGGGCAGCCUCUGCCUUUGGGGGCUCUUCCUUUUGGCUAUAGGGGUUUCAUGCUGUGCUCUAACACUUCGCCACUGAAUUUUGGACAAGGGACACGACUGACUGUGUUAGAGGAUGACCUCAAUAUCACAGAGCCUGAAGUGACCGUCUUUGCCCCAUCACAAAAGGAGAUCAAAGAGAAGAAAAAGGCUACGCUGGUGUGUGUGGCCACAGGCUUCUACCCCGACCACAUCAACGUGACCUGGAAAGUCAAUGGUAAUGAGAGGACAGAAGGUGUGGGGACAGAUGAGCAUGCCACCCGGGACAACCAAACACGGAUGUACUCCCUGACCAGCCGCCUGAGGAUCCCCAGCCAGGAGUGGUUCAACACCAAGAACAUUUUCCAGUGUCUUGUCAGCUUCUAUGGCAAAGAGUCAACACCAGUACAAUAUCCGAAAAACAUUCAAGGUGUAGCAGGUUGCAGUAUCACUGAAGAGUUGUACCAGAGAAGUUCCAGAACUGGGUAUUUUGUGUACCUGAUGCUUUUUUGCAAGAGUAUCUUGUAUGGGUUGUUUGUGAUGGGGCUUAUACUACGGAGCAAGAUGCACUAGAAGCUCUUUUUCAUAAAGAAGCAGGCCAGAGCCUUCAUACAGGGCUACAUAAUGGGGAAGAUGCAUGCACACCAGCC